rnacentral:tRNA from 1 species
GGCAAGAUGGCCGAGUUGGUCUAAGGCGCUAGCUUCAGGUUUCAAUCCGCUGAUUGAGACAUGAUCUUGCUAGUCUAGUAAUAGGCGUGGGUUCGAAUCCCACUCUUGUCA